UAACAAACUGGGAGGGACUAACUGAAACCCGUCCAAUAAGAAACAUUUUGGGUUUGUGUUUUUAUAUGAUGUGCACCAAUGAACACCAACCUGAUGUCUAAGAGGAACUCUGUGUAUAAUCACUGUCAAGACACUUGUCAGUUACAGGAAAUGACAAACCCCAGAGUUCUUCUUUCAAUGCACAUUCUCUCAGAACGAGUCAGAGGUGAGACCAGAGCUGCAACAUGUGUUGUUCCUGCUCUAUUAGAGGCUGGCUGCUUUUCUUCACAAUCCUACAAGUGAUUGAUGGCAUGAGUUUCAUUGUGACCCCGUGGAAGUAUUACAGAAGCAGGGAAAAUGUAAGGUUUUCUAACCUGUUAUUUUCCUCUUGUAGUAACUGCAUUGGAACAAACUGCAAGUGUUAACUACAAGAUGAACGUCUGUCUGAGGGGUGUGUGUUUCAUGGUGAAGGACCUAGAUGAACGUCUGUCUGAUGGGUGUGUUUAAUGGUGAAGGACCUAGAUGAACGUCUGUCUGAGGGGGGUGUGUUUAAUGGUGAAGGACCUAGAUGAACGUCUGUCUGAUGGGUGUGUGUUUAAUGGUGAAGGACCUAGAUGAAGGUCUGUGAUGGGUGUGUGUUUAAUGGUGAAGGACCUAGAU